AUUGAACGCUGGCGGCAUGCCUUACACAUGCAAGUCGAACGGCAGCGCGGGGCAACCUGGCGGCGAGUGGCGAACGGGUGAGUAAUAUAUCGGAACAUACCCUAGAGUGGGGAUAACGUAGCGAAAGUUACGCUAAUACCGCAUACGCACUAAGGUGGAAAGUGGGGGAUCUUCGGACCUCAUGCUCAUGGAGUGGCCGAUAUCUGAUUAGCUAGUUGGUGAGGUAAAGGCUCACCAAGGCGACGAUCAGUAGCUGGUUUGAGAGAACGACCAGCCACACUGGAACUGAGACACGGUCCAGACUCCUACGGAGGCAGCAGUGGGGAAUUUUGGACAAUGGGGGCAACCCUGAUCCAGCAAUGCCGCGUGAGUGAAGAAGGCCU
rnacentral:rRNA from 1 species